AAGUCGGAUGUGAAAUCCCCGGGCUCAACCUGGGAACUGCAUCCGAAACUGGCAGGCUAGAGUCUGUAGAGGGGGGUAGAAUUCCAGGUGUAGCGGUGAAAUGCGUAGAGAUCUGGAGGAAUACCGGUGGCGAAGGCGGCCCCCUGGACAAAGACUGACGCUCAGGUGCGAAAGCGUGGGGAGCAAACAGGAUUAGAUACCCUGGUAGUCCACGCCGUAAACGAUGUCGACUUGGAGGUUGUGCCCUUGAGGCGUGGCUUCCGGAGCUAACGCGUUAAGUCGACCGCCUGGGGAGUACGGCCGCAAGGUUAAAACUCAAAUGAAUUGACGGGGGCCCGCACAAGC
rnacentral:rRNA from 1 species